rnacentral:rRNA from 1 species
UACCAGCACCCCGAGUGGUCGGGACGUUUUAUUGGGCCUAAAGCAUCCGUAGCCGGUUCUACAAGUCUUCCGUUAAAUCCACCUGCUUAACAGAUGGGCUGCGGAAGAUACUAUGGAGCUAGGAGGCGGGAGAGGCAAGCGGUACUCGAUGGGUAGGGGUAAAAUCCGUUGAUCCAUUGAAGACCACCAGUGGCGAAGGCGGCUUGCCAGAACGCGCUCGACGGUGAGGGAUGAAAGCUGGGGGAGCAACCGGG